UUUUUCUUUUCUGUUGCUAUUUUAUUAUUUUUCUUUUUCUCUUUCUGUUUGCUGCUUGUUUGUUGUGUGCAGGUACGGGUACGGAGACCUACGUGAAGGUACAGAGGUGGCCGUACGGAGGCGUGCGUGGCGGUGUGUGGAGGCCACUGUUGUGGCGGCUGGAGGGCAGUGAUGCUAGGGUUUUCUGAUUCUCUUUUUGUUGGGCUAUAUUGGGCCAUUAGAUUUGGGUUUAUUUGGGCCAUUGAGCCCAUUGCUUGUAAAUGGACACUUAAAAUUGGACUAUUGUUG
rnacentral:lncRNA from 1 species